rnacentral:rRNA from 1 species
UACGUAGGGGGCAAGCGUUAUCCGGAAUUACUGGGUGUAAAGGGAGCGUAGACGGUAAUGUAAGUCUGGAGUGAAAGGCGGGGGCCCAACCCCCGGACUGCUCUGGAAACUAUGUUACUAGAGUGCAGGAGAGGUAAGCGGAAUUCCUAGUGUAGCGGUGAAAUGCGUAGAUAUUAGGAGGAACACCAGUGGCAAAGGCGGCUUACUGGACUGUAACUGACGUUGAGGCUCGAAAGCGUGGGGAGCAAACAGG